CCUUCCGUAGGGGGAACCUGCGGAAGGAUCAUUAUCGAGUUUUGACUGGGUUGUAGCUGGCCUUCCGAGGCAUGUGCACGCCCUGCUCAUCCACUCUACACCUGUGCACUUACUGUGGGCUUCAGAUCGUAAAACGGGUCCCUUUACCGGGCUUGCGGAGCGUGUCUGUGCCUGCGUUUAUCACAAACUCUAUAAAGUAUCAGAAUGUGUAUUGCGAUGUAACGCAUCUAUAUACAACUUUCAGCAACGGAUCUCUUGGCUCUCGCAUCGAUGAAGAACGCAGCGAAAUGCGAUAAGUAAUGUGAAUUGCAGAAUUCAGUGAAUCAUCGAAUCUUUGAACGCACCUUGCGCUCCUUGGUAUUCCGAGGAGCAUGCCUGUUUGAGUGUCAUGAAAUCUUCAACCUGCAAGCUUUUGUGGUUUGUAGGCUUGGACUUGGAGGCUUGUCGGCCGUUGUUGGUCGGCUCCUCUUAAAUGCAUUAGCUUGGUUCCUUGCGGAUCGGCUCUCAGUGUGAUAAUGUCUACGCUGCGACCGUGAAGCGUUUGGCGAGCUUCUAACCGUCUCAGUUGGAGACAACUUUAUGACCUCUGACCUCAAAUCAGGUCGUUCUGCCCGCUGAACUUAAGCAUAUCAAUAAGCCGGAGGAA
rnacentral:rRNA from 1 species